GCAAGUCGAGGGGUAACAGGGAAGCUUGCUUCCGCUGACGACCGGCGCACGGGUGCGUAACGCGUAUGAAACCUACCUUAUACUGGGGGAUAGCCCGAAGAAAUUCGGAUUAAUACCCCAUAACAUGAUUGAUUGGCAUCAAUUAAUUAUAAAACUCCGGUGGUAUAAGAUGGUCAUGCGUGACAUUAGUUUGUUGGUGAGGUAACGGCUCACCAAGACUACGAUGUCUAGGGGUUCUGAGAGGAAGGUC
rnacentral:rRNA from 1 species